rnacentral:rRNA from 1 species
ACAGCAGCAGCCACGGUAAUACAGAGGGUGCGAGCGUUAAUCGGAUUUACUGGGCGUAAAGCGUGCGUAGGCGGCUUUUUAAGUCGGAUGUGAAAUCCCUGAGCUUAACUUAGGAAUUGCAUUCGAUACUGGGAAGCUAGAGUAUGGGAGAGGAUGGUAGAAUUCCAGGUGUAGCGGUGAAAUGCGUAGAGAUCUGGAGGAAUACCGAUGGCGAAGGCAGCCAUCUGGCCUAAUACUGACGCUGAGGUACGAAAGCAUGGGGAGCAAACAGGAUUAGAUACCCCCGUAGUCCCUGUCUCUUAUAA